GUCUGCUUCACAACUGGAUUCUUAUCUCUGCAUCUUUCAGCAUGGCAGGUCGUGGGGAAGAAACUUUAUCACAGAAAGAUGUGAAUAACAGAAGAGGCUCUAGGGGAAACAACAACAGAAGAAUUUUAAAGAAAGGCCUGGAAGAAAAUCUCACCAAAACUAAAAGGCAUAAACCUACAAGAAAGAAGGAGGAAAAAAACAAAACAAAACAAAACAACCCAGGAAUGGAGACAACAGCAGUAAAAUAUUGGAAGCUGGUGAAGAAAUGGGAGGAGGAAGACAUGGGAUAGAUGAAACAGGACAUUCAAAACUCCAAAGCGUGGGGAACCCCCAGAACAGCGGUGAAAGAAUGUAAGAUGACAGCAGUGUCCAAACAGAGAGAGCAACCAGUUCAGGCAGGAACAGGUUCACACCAGCCCUGUGAGGGAGGCAGGAAAAGAAUUCUUAUCACUACUUUACAAAUGAGCAUCCUGAGACUCUGCUAUCACGUGACUUGCCCCAGGUCACAGCUGGAAAGCAUCAGGG